rnacentral:rRNA from 1 species
UUAGGAAUCUUCCGCAAUGGGCGAAAGCCUGACGGAGCGACACCGCGUGAAGGAUGAAGCCCUUACGGGCGUAAACUUCUGUUCUGAGGGACGAAAUUUUUGACGGUACCUCAGGAGAAAGCACCGGCUAAUUCUGUGCCAGCAGCCGCGGUAAGACAGAAGGUGCAAGCGUUACUCGGAAUUACUGGGCGUAAAGCGUCUGUAGGUGUCUCGUCGCGUCUGACCUCAAAUUGCGGGGCUCAACCCCGUACUCGGGUCGGAAACGGGCGAGAUCGAGUCAUUCAGAGGCAUCUGGAAUGUCGUGUGUAGGGGUAAAAUCCGUAGAUACACGAUGGAACGCCAAAAGCGAAGGCAGGAUGCUGGGAAUGUACUGACACUCAGAGACGAAAGCGUGGGGAGCAAAGGGG